rnacentral:lncRNA from 1 species
GUUCAGUGGUAGAGCAGCCCUGGGUCCAAUCCCCAGUACUGCCAGAAAACAAUUAAAAAAAAAAAAAGACAUCUCAAAGUGCCCCUGGAUGAUUAGGGCUUGGGGUGACCAUCUCCCCCAACCCUUCAGUGGACAACUCCUUUUCCUUCUUUCCUUACUGGUUUCCCAAGCCCAGCAGACCCUGGGAACCCCACUUUGGCAGGUGGUCAUGAUGUUCACUCUCCUCUCUGUUGCUGGUUAAUUCCUGCUGAGGACAAGCAGCAUCUAGCAGGCUGGGCCAAAGGCUGGGAUCUGGGUGAAGGGUUAUCUGUUUGUGCCAGGGUGACCUCAUGUGUGCAGACGCUGGAUUGAGAACGGACAGAGUAUUCUCUACAAUGAUUCCAGUGAGGUGCCCACUUGGAUGUCCUGUGCUGCUGGCCUGUCCCAGUGGGGUCACCUUCCUUCCUGAUGGCUUCAGAGAAACCAUAAAGAAUGGGACUGUGGGUGGUAUUCCUGAGUACUUCCCUCCCAGGGAGUCCCAGCUUGCCGUCCCCACCUCCAUCUGCCUCGCCCAUUGGGUCCUCCUCGCUACCCUGCAGCCCCUCCCGCCCUCAAAGAGCAGCCAUGCGGAGCUCUGCCUCCCUCCAAGGGUGGCUGCCCGGGAGGGUCCUGGCAACAUCGCCCUCCACCUGGACACCCCACUGAGGAGAACACAAGACACAAGCUGCUGCUAGGUCUGUCUGCCAGGGUCAAAGUCCCCACAGACUUAGUCAGGAAGGGGCCACUCAGCCAGCCCUGGAACCUGAUGCUUGGGGGUAGGGGAGUGAGUGGGGUCCAAGCGGCACAAAAGGGGUUAAAGGAGCUGGUGGAAGAUGGGAGCGCAGGGGCACAGCACUGCUGGAAAGCAGCUAGCCGGGUGCAUGGCUAAUUAGAACUGAGCAUCAGUAAACAAUGCCUUUUCCCCUCAUUAAGGACAAAUCUGUAUGUAUAAUGUGCCUAUUUUCUCUUUCAUUAACUUAUAAAUGGCCACUACUUUAAAGCCAUUUAACCAGCAGUUUUGACUUGCCCGUCAGCUCAGGGUCUGACAAUCUUCUCACUUCUGAGGCUGAGAGAGGUGGCCCCUCCGCACAUGGUCCUCACAGGAAGAGGACAUGUGGGUGCUCCUCUGAGACUCAAGGAGCUGCAGAACCUUCCAGAAAGGGAUGCAAGGGGAUGUGGGAGGACAGGCAAGGCCAGGUGCCCCAAGCAGGCCUUCUGCCCUGGACCCAGGUGAUCCCCCACCAGCCCCUCCUCCUGGGCCUCUGAUGAUCACCCACGCUCUCUAAAUUCCUCUUUCUGUGCCCUUGAGUAGCAGAGGACUCUGAUUCUUCCUAUAAAAGAGGAGCCUUGAGAAUGUGCCCAAUCUACACACAUCCUCCAGGAUGCCCAGCAACAAUCUGGGACCAGAGAUCCCAAAGGUGAGAUAUCACAUCGGCCCUCACAAAGCUCACAGUCCAGUGGAGAGAGCAACAUGCACACAUAGGUAAGGAAAUGAGGGGCCUGCCAAGUGAAGUCUGCACUAAAAGUUGGGAAGGCUUCCCAGGUGAGAGUAUGCCUCUUCCAUCAGUCUAGAAACUUCCUAGGAGUAAGUAUGAGGUCUCCUUCAUCAGGCUAGCACUUCAGAGGCUACUGACCAGUCCCUCCAUGGGACUAGGAGAUGCCCUGGCGGCAAAGCCUGGAGACCCCUGGGUUAGGAACAAUUGCUCCUAUGGGAUCGGAAACUCCCAUGAGGGAGGGAUCUGUCCAAAAGCAGGGUUUAUUUCCCUGUCCUUUUCUAGGUAGCCCCCAGGACCCUGGAUAAAGAUGAGCCCAGCCUUGAAGCAGCCUCCGUGUAUUCCUGCCUCCUUCCUGGGUCCCAAAAUGUUUACCAAUCCUGUCCUAGGACUUAGGGGUAGAGAUGGUGCCAAAGAGGAAAAGGACAUAACCUUUGCCUGUAGGAGCACCCAUAGGGAGCUUCCUGGUUUUGUAGUGCCACCGAUACACACAAAGCAAUAGUAAGACAAGAGAAAGAUGAACACUUAUGGAGGGCUCACUUUGUAGCAGCAAAAGGCAUGUCCAUUACCAGCUCUGUCAAUCCACCUAAGUGCUCACAGUUGUGAGAUGGAUAAUAUUUUCCCUAUUCUACAAAUGAAGAACUAAACUUCCAGUAAAGCAAUUUACUCAAGAUCACGUAGCCAGUUGGUGGUAGAACUGGGAGUUAAACCUAAUCUGUCUAGUUCCAAAACCUAAGCUCUUUCCACCACAUCCAACUGUCAUCUGGGAUGAAUUUUUUAAAAUUUCAUAAACAGCAGAAAAGAGGAAGAACAUCGAGAAUGGAGGUUCUGGCAGCUGUCAAACCUCAGAUGCAGGAAAGAUCUGGAGUGGCCAAAGAUGUUCUGAAGAUCUGAUGGUGAAGCUGGGGAAAGCCCUACUUCUGGACCCCCUGCCCUGUACCCCCCCUGGACAGGAAAAUUGAAGAAUCCUCAAGCCUGGUGAGGAAGCAUGCUCAUAAAUUCAGUUGUUCCUUAAAAUACUACCUCUUGGUAGUAUUUUAACAUUAGAUGGACUUCUGAGGGGUGCUAGGUUGUUCCACUGUUGGAAAAUAUGGACAUCAUGAUCAUUAGCCUUGUUAUUAAUUACAAAUACUAGGAAACAAGGUGAAAUUCCAUUCACAAGGAAAAACAAGAGGGUCUAUUCACAUGCAGAAUGCUAUCUAUACAGCUGUUAAUGAAAAUAGGUCCAUGCAGGCUUGACAUGGCUAAGUCUCCAAAAUACACUGUCACGUGAAGAAAACACAACUUGCAUGCAUGAUAUUACUUAUGGAAAAAGAGAUAUCUCCAAACAAAGAGCUUUCAAGGGCUACAUAUUGUACUUAUGAGAUCUGAAAAAAUACACAUCAAACUGAUCACAGCAGUUACCUCUGGUUGGGGGUAGACAUAACCAGAUGGAAGGAUCAAAGGGGACUCUGGUUUUCAAGGGGUGACCACCUGUCCAGGUUUGCCCAAGAGGCCUGUUUUCCCUGAUGCAGGUGUGACUAAUAAUAGUGCUUGCUUUUCACUCUCAAAAGUGUUCUGUUUCAGUGAUAAAUUAUAUAAUGGUCUUACUUAUCUAUGGUGUUAAUUUUUUACAAUAAGAACGCAUUAAUUCAACCCCGUGUCAUUUCUGAUAAUGCAUAAUGUAGAAGGUAAAGUCCUCCUCCCGCCCUCCAGGCCCCGGACCCACUCCUCAGAGUCAGGCAUGGUAACAGUUUCCUAGCAUCCUUCUUGAAACUGUAAAUCCAUAUCUAACCUCAUCACCUUGACACACAGAGAAAGAGAUAUAUGAAAUUAGGCAGUACAUACUGUUUCUAAACUUGCUUUUCUCACUUAAUUUUGUCUCUGUCACGAUUA